UACAGAGGUCUCAAGCGUUGUUCGGAUUCAUUGGGCGUAAAGGGUGCGUAGGCGGCGCGGUAAGUCGGGUGUGAAAUCUCGGAGCUUAACUCCGAAACUGCCUUCGAUACUGCCGUGCUUGAGGACUGGAGAGGAGACUGGAAUUUACGGUGUAGCGGUGAAAUGCGUAGAUAUCGUAAGGAAGACCAGUGGCGAAGGCGGGUCUCUGGACAGUUCCUGACGCUGAGGCAACG
rnacentral:rRNA from 1 species